UACAGAGGGUGCAAGCGUUGUUCGGAAUUAUUGGGCGUAAAGGGUGCGUAGGCGGUUCCGCAAGUCCUGUGUGAAAUCUUCGGGCUCAACUCGAAGUCUGCACGGGAAACUGCGGGGCUUGAGUGUGGGAGAGGUGAGUGGAAUUCCCGGUGUAGCGGUGAAAUGCGUAGAUAUCGUCUGGAACGCCGAAGGUGAAAACAGCUCGCUGGGGCUGCGCUGACGCUGAGACACGAAAGCCAGGGGAGCGAACGGG
rnacentral:rRNA from 1 species